GCCUAGCCUUAACAUAACAAUUAAAUAACCCAUUGUUCGCCAAAUAACUACGAGUUACAACUUAAAAUUUAAAAGACUUGACGGUACCCCACAACAACCUAGAGGAGCCUGUCUAAUAAACGAUACCCCACGAUUAACCCAACCCACCAUAGCCUACCAGUCUAUAUACCGCCGUCGCCAGCCUACCUCCUGAGAGAACAAAAGUGAGCUAAACAGCCUAUCACUAACACGACAGGUCAAGGUGUAACUAAUGGGUGGGAAUAAGAUGGGCUACAUUUUCUACUCAGAAUAUACGAAUUAAACUUUGAAAAAACAACUGAAGGCGGAUUUAGCAGUAUACUAAGGACAAAACACUUAAUUGAAACCAACGCAAUGGGGUGCGCACACACCGCCCGUCAUCCCUGCCACCAAAACAACACAUUUAUAAUAACUACACAUAUACCAACCAGGGCAAGUCGUAACAUGGUAAGCGUACUGGAAAGUGCGCUUAGAAA
rnacentral:rRNA from 1 species